AUGAUGAAUGCUUUUGAUAUAUUAAUGACAGUUAUUUUUCUUUUUAUACAGAACUGGAGUAUUACAAGUACUGAUCAGCAUCUUGCUUUUUUCCCCCCAGCUUUAUGUUUGGGAGAAUUUUCCGUAUCCCUACCUACAGAUAUGUAUCCUCAUUUGUUUUUAAUGGUGGUUCUCCGUUUUGACAUAUUUAUUCACGUGUUUCCGGCAGGGCUGGGUCUGGUUGCCGUGCGGGCUUCUCCCCAGGUGUGGUGCUCGGGGUCCUCCUCACUGCAGGGCUGCUCCUGUUGCAGGCCACGGGCUCUAAGGCUGGCAGCUCCAGCAGUGAUGGCUCACAGGCUCAGCAGGUGCAGCUUCUGGGCUCUAAAGCACAGGCUCAAAAGCUGCGGCGCACUCGCUCAGUUGCUCUGUGGCCUGCAGGAUCUUCUUGAUCAGGGAUGGAACCUGUGUCUCCUGGAGGCGUUGGCAGGUGGAUUCUUUACCACUGAGCCACCAGGGAAACCUCAGUAUACUCCCCUUUUUGUACGGAUGUAUAAUAUUCCAUUGUAAGGAUCACCAAAGCUUAUUUAAUUAGUUCACUCUGGUUGGCUGGAUUGUCCCCCCAAAAUUUUUUUUUUCACAAACAAUAGCAUUCUACAUACCCAAAAGAAUAAUCUUUAAAAUUUUCAAAUUUAAGUAAACAGGGACAUUGACAUUUUAGGAGAGAUACUGGCCAUGAACUAACCAAUUGGGUUUUAUGUGUAUGUUCCAGUUAAAUAUUAGCCCUGAAAAAUCUUUUUGUAUAUAAUCAAAUAUAUCUGCAGAUUGUGGAAUCUAUAGAAUCCACAGAUAUAGUCUCAGAAACAGAAUUGCUGGACUAACUGCCGAACUGUCCUUCAUAGGAGUUAUGCCAAUUUAUAUUCUCACUGGAUCUUUUUUUUUAUACAACCUUGUCAACAGAGUGUUAUCAAACUUUUGCCAAUCAGAUAGCCGAAAAAUAAUAUUUCAGGAUACUUUUAAUUUUCAUGUUUCUUAAUAUGAAUGAGGUGAAACUGAACAACUUUUCAUAUGUGUAAGAGACAUUUGUGGGCUUUUUUUUUCUAGUGGAAAAAUGUUUAUCCCCUUUGCCUAUCAUCCUAUGUUAUUCUAUAGGCUGAUAUCUUUUAUUUUUUUUCUUGAUUUGCAGGAGCUCUGAUGCAAUAGGGAGAUGAACUUAUUGUUCAGGAUUCGAGUUACAAUCUCUGCCCCUCAGUUAACCAAGUAUCUUUUGACUUUACUUCUGGUGUUUUCAUUCCACACUGAUUCUUUUUCCCUUUACAACUUCUUGAUUUUAAGUCAAAAUCAGAAAGCCUUCUCCUACUCCAAGAUUGUAAUAGAGCUCUCCAAUGUGUUCAUUUAAUAGGAGUAAAGUUCUCACAUUUAAUUCUAUGAUCUACUUGGAAUUUCUCCUGCUGCCAGCUGGGAGGUAUGAAUCUAACUAUGCUUUCAAACUGUGGUGCUGGAGAAGAGUCUUGAGAGUCCCUUGGACUACAAGGAG
rnacentral:lncRNA from 1 species